rnacentral:sRNA from 1 species
AAUCAGUACUAGCAGGGGAAAUGCACAAAACAAUAAUAUAUUGGACAAAAGAUAACCUAUUACGGAGUACACAUUCCCUGCAUGCUAAAAAUACCAAAGCUGAUCUGAAAGAGUAGACAGGUAGGUCAAAACCGAACCGGUCCCUGAAGGACAGGACUUGCGUGCGACGCGCAUGCCAAACAUGUGUCAUCGUGGAGCGAAGAGAGGCUUCACUCGCUUCCUUCAUAUGCCUUCUUCAACGCCUCAAUGUCAAACUUAACGCUCUUGAGCAUCACAUCAGUGACCCUCUUUGCCUUGGCCUUGUCAGAAUCCCCCAUCAACUCCAACAAGCAUCUCGGCACAAUCUGCCACGAGACACCAAAUCUAUCAGUGAGCCAACCACACUGCGACUCCUUUCCACCAUCCGCCACCAAUGCGGCCCACAGGCGGUCAACCUCGUCCUGAUCGUCGCAAAUAGUGAAAAGGGACGCGGCCGGGGAAAGGGUGUAAUAAGUACCGCCAUUCAGGAGGGAUAUCUCUUGUCCGUCUAGAAUGAACGUGACCAGGGUAUCAUUGCUGCUCACUAUGCGAGAGUUUUUAAAGAGGGAAACAUAAAACUCGGCGGCCUUGAUGGCGUCCUUUUCGAACCAGAGGCAUGUGUGGAUUUUGUGCGAGGGAACGGCAAAAGUUGAGGAUUCCAUGAUGAUUGGGGGACGUUUUGUUUUUCUUGGAUUUAGGCGGAUGGACACAAUUGAUUAAGUUUGAUCGCGAGAUGUUGAGAUUUCAGUGUGCUCAGAGGGUUCCUGUGGAGGUCAGCGAACGAGAAACGGAGUUACAAACUGGUGAGAAAGCUGCUUUUAUGUCCCAACCAAGCGGCCUAAUUUCGCUCCGCAUUUCGCUGACCUAUCCUGCAUCUGGUUGUAAAUGUGACUCAUUGCAUUGACCCUUGAAUCCUCGAAAGUUUGGAGGGGCGGGGUGAAAGUCGACAAUGCUCAAACAAUGGUGAAGGUUGGGCGUAGCUUGCGAGGAACAAGAAACCGCCAAGUCGACGAUACGAGCUCUUUUCAGGCAGCAAUCACGUGGCAUUCAGGCCAUUGGCCGGGGCUCUAAACGGGUUUACCUCGAAUCUUCUCCUUCCUGAAAACCAGCAGGAGGAAAGGAUUUCGCGAUCAGAUAUCGGGGUUCGGCUCAGUGAUGACCAGGGCAAGUCUUAUUUUCUUCUCCAAAAUGUGCGGCGGCUUUUGUCCUGGACGACUAGUUCCAUCGCAACUCUGCGAAGUUGAAUCCGCCAGUGGAAUGCUAGAAGGGCUGAAUGAACACAACUUUCUUUUCUCUUCCGUAGUCCUGCGCGACAGCACGUUGAAUGCAAGUUCAGCCCCAUAGCAAGCAGUUGGUUUCCAAGGGAUGCUCCAACAGAUCUCCAUCAUUUAACACAGUCCGGAGCUUUGAGCAAGGGGACAGCUCAAAAAUUAGCCAUGCCGGUUGCUCAUCCCAACUUGCCUGCUGAAUUUUUUUUUUUUUCCGGGCGGAACGAUUCAGGCAGCUGGAGCCCGGUCGUCGUCCAGGAACAAAAGAGUAUAUUUUUGAAAGAAAAUAUCGGUUUCUUUUGGGCAUUGCCGGGUACUAUUUGAGGUACUAGUAGUUGUUGAACCUGGAAUCUGGAUUUGGCAUUUGGCUGAAAACUUCGCAACAUGUGAGACAGGCAUGAAACGAACCUUGGAAAUGGAGCCGUGGAUUCGGGCCGGAGUGCAAGACAUGCAGGAUGCAGGGGGAAAGGAUCCGCUCGAAAGUCCAACAAGAAGCCCCCAAAGAGCCCAAGCCCUGGCGAACAGCGCCUGGAAGCCGCUAGACUGACGCCUAACUAUUGGCGGUGUCCGGGCGACUGCAGCUCCGAAGCCAAGCUUACGUCACUGCCGGCUGGGGUAGGGCCCGGACACAAUUUAGCUGCCAAUCGGGAUACUUAAGCACUUGAGGUGGCUCUGGGAUCACGGCCUAACACGAGCUAGGGGAGUACAAUGGGCCCACAGUGGAACCUGCCUGGAUAUCCUGGAGCAGAGAACAUGAGGAGCUCGGUCAUUCCUUUGGCUUCGUGGAGCAUUUUGAAGCACUGAA